CAGUCGCCGCGGGAACACGUAGGGUGCAAGCGUUAAUCGGAAUUACUGGGCGUAAAGCGUGCGCAGGCGGUUAUAUAAGACAGAUGUGAAAUCCCCGGGCUCAACCUGGGAACUGCAUUUGUGACUGUAUAGCUAGAGUACGGCAGAGGGGGAUGGAAUUCCGCGUGUAGCAGUGAAAUGCGUAGAUAUGCGGAGGAACACCGAUGGCGAAGGCAAUCCCCUGGGCCUGUACUGACGCUCAUGCACGAAAGCGUGGGGAGCAAACAGGAUUAGAUACCCCAGUAGUCCCUGUCUCUUAUAC
rnacentral:rRNA from 1 species